rnacentral:lncRNA from 1 species
AACAUCUUCCUGAGCAGUAGUUCCACGAGACUUUCCAUCAGAAUCAUAACCAAACACCGCCUUUCGGCCAUUCCCAUCCUCUGAAAGUGAAGGGAAAUUUUCAUUAGGUAGGAGGACCGAAGAGAAAGGCUUCAUAGGAACAUGUUUCUUCUUGCCUAACUUAUCACCAUGUCGCAUAGAACCAGAUGAAUUCGGCCAUUCCCAUCCUCUGAAAGUGAAGGGAAAUUUUCAUUAGGUAGGAGGACCGAAGAGAAAGGCUUCAUAGGAACAUGUUUCUUCUUGCCUAACUUAUCACCAUGUCGCAUAGAACCAGAUGAGCCAAUAGGUGGGAAAGGAUCCUUGU